CAGAGUUCAUGCCCUCACGGGUAGAUCUCCCACCCUUGAAUAUUAUACCUUAGUUGCUUUGGUAGGCCGUGGAAACACUAUGGGCUCCGGCUCGUACGUGCCUACCGAAGGAAACAAACUCUGUUUUUAGUGAUGUCUGAGUACUAUAUAAUAGUUA
rnacentral:misc_RNA from 1 species